rnacentral:rRNA from 1 species
UACGUAGGUGACAAGCGUUGUCCGGAUUUACUGGGCGUAAAGAGCGCGCAGGCGGUCGAUCAAGUCGAGUGUGAAAGCCCCCGGCUCAACUGGGGAGGGUCAUUCGAUACUGAUCGACUCGAAGGCAGGAGAGGGUAGUGGAAUUCCCGGUGUAGUGGUGAAAUGCGUAGAUAUCGGGAGGAACGCCGGUGGCGAAAGCGAUCGUCUGGAGUGCAUGUGACGCUGAGGCGCGAAAGCUAGGGGAGCAAACGGG